CUGGCAAUUGAAGGCUUGUAUGAAUGGUCGGAUGAGGGACACGCUGUCUUUCUCUUUAUAAAAAAGUUAACUUUUAAGUGAAAAGGCUUAAAUUUUAUGAAGUGACGAUAAGACCCUAUAAAACUUUAUAUGUCCUAUUCUUAGUUGAUAAUUUGGUUUAAAUCGGCUUUGAGUGGGCUUUAUUUCGUUGGGGAAACGAUGAUAUAAGUUGUAAUUGUCUAUUAAAUUUAAUAAUUAUGGUUAGUUUAUGAUCCCUGAUAGGGAUUAAAAGAUUAAGUUACUUUAGGGAUAACAGCGUG
rnacentral:rRNA from 1 species